GUGCUCACUUCGGCAGCACAUAUACUAAAAUUGGAACGAUACAGAGAAAAUUAGCAUGGCCCCUGCACAAGGAUGACAUGCAAAUUCGUGAAGCAUUCCAUAUUUUU
rnacentral:snRNA from 1 species